UACGGUAGGGUCCGAGCGUUGUCCGGAUUUAUUGGGCGUAAAGAGCUCGUAGGCGGCUUGUUGCGUCAGCUGUGAAAGUCCGGGGCUCAACUCCGGAUCUGCGGUGGGUACGGGCAGACUAGAGUGAUGUAGGGGAGACUGGAAUUCCUGGUGUAGCGGUGAAAUGCGCAGAUAUCAGGAGGAACACCGAUGGCGAAGGCAGGUCUCUGGGCAUUAACUGACGCUGAGGAGCGAAAGCAUGGGGAGCGAACAGG
rnacentral:rRNA from 1 species